CCUACGGGUGGCUGCAGUGGGGAAUUUUGGACAAUGGGCGAAAGCCUGAUCCAGCCAUGCCGCGUGAGUGAAGAAGGCCUUCGGGUUGUAAAGCUCUUUCGCAAGGAAAGAAAACUUACCUACUAAUACUAGGUGAGGAUGACGGUACCUUGAUAAGAAGCACCGGCUAACUACGUGCCAGCAGCCGCGGUAAUACGUAGGGGGCGAGCGUUAAGUGGAAUGAGUGGGGGUAAAGCGAGAGGAGUCAGGUGAAAUCCCCGGGCUCAACCUGGGAACUGCGUUGGAAACUGUCGAGCUAGAGUGUAGAAGAGGGGGGUAGAAUUCCACGUGUAGCAGUGAAAUGCGUAGAGAUGUGGAGGAAUACCGAUGGCGAAGGCAGCCCCCUGGGCUAACACUGACGCUCAUGCACGAAAGCGUGGGGAGCAAACAGGAUUAGAUACCCGAGUAGUC
rnacentral:rRNA from 1 species